AUGAUAGGUACUGCCAUUUGCUAUUUCAGACCUGCAGACAGUGGACUACAUUUGUUGUGGAGGAACCAGAAAGACGGAUUACAUAUGAACAUAGAUAUGUAUUUUUUAGAGUAGACUUGCAUUUUUUACAUAUGGAGAAAACACUUUGUUCUAACUGCUGCUUUUUCGUCUAAGGUGGCAUUUAUAUCCUCUUGUGGACUUUCACCCUGUGACCAUCACCAUGGUAAACCACAAACCAGCCCGCGUUGUGCUCAUGUUUCUUGCAUUUUUUUUGUUUUUAGCUGCAAUGACGCUCAACUCUAUGUCAGGAUUCGGUUCUAAAUCAGGUGUUUUCCAGCACGUCACAGAAGAUGUGACAGUCAAGUAUACAACACCUUUAACUCCUGCACAGUGGGCUCUCUUUGUCUGGGAUUUCACAUAUAUUUGGUUUUUAGCCAUGUUUAUAUACUUUUUAGUGGGACUCUGUAGAAGGACUGCUUAUGACUGGCUGUAUACCAUGCCUGCAGUGCUACCUUAUGGAUUUCAUGUCUCUAUUAUCAUCAGCAUGUGCCUGAACAUUACAUGGUUGUUUUUGUUUGACAGAGAGUAAGUGUGUAAAAACAUGUUCCCAAGAAAGAAAAAGAAAAAAACAUGAUUUUUUUUCUCCCUGCUGUCGUUCAC